rnacentral:misc_RNA from 1 species
GAAAUGCGAUAAGUAAUGUGAAUUGCAGAAUUCAGUGAAUCAUCGAAUCUUUGAACGCACAUUGCGCCCGCCAGUAUUCUGGCGGGCAUGCCUGUUCGAGCGUCAUUUCAACCAUCAAGCCCCCGGCUUGUGUUGGGGACCUGCGGCUGCCCGCAGGCCCUGAAAAACAGUGGCGGGCUCGCUGUCACACCGAGCGUAGUAGCAUACAUUCUCGCUCAGGGCGUGCUGCGGGUUCCGGCCGUUAAACGACCUUCAUAACCCAAGGUUGACCUCGGAUCAGGUAGGAAGACCCUCUGAACUUAAGC